UUUCCUGAACUGCCCUAGUGUGG
rnacentral:piRNA from 1 species